ensembl:lncRNA
GCGGCAGCUGCUGGGCGAAGCCGGCCACCUUCUCCGGGCGCUUUCAGCCGCCCACGCCCGCUCUUCCGGCCGCGCCAGACAAUCGGGCCCUUUCUCUGCCCAAUUAGCUAUCACUUCUGGAGGCCGGCGCUGUCCAGCGGCCGCGGGCCCGCGGCGGCGGCAGCAGGCCGGGCGGGAGGGGCCGGGCGGCCCGGCGGGAGGGCCGGCGGGAGCUGUGCGGAUGAAAGGGGAGCAGAGGGGCGCGAAGGUGAGACCCGGCGCCCCGCGCCCACAGGCGACCCCGGCGAGCUCAAUUAGCGCACGGGCCGCCAGCGCCUCAAAGGCCGCCCGCCCGCCGCCCGCCGCCCGCCGCCCGCGGGGGUGGGCAGCGCGGGCUGGCGGGGGCGGGGACGGCGCGGGCGGCUCCGGAGGGGAACCUGCUUAAUCACCCAGGAAGGCCCGGGCCGGUCCCCAGAUCACCCCCCAGCGGCCCACCGAGGGCCUUGGACGCCGCCCGCAGCCCGGGCUGGACGGUCGGCCUGCGGCCCCCCCCUCACACUGUGCAGGGCCUCCGUCCAGGGCCCACCGCAGACAUGGAGUGACCGAGCUCAGUGCUCAUCCUCCUGGUGCAAAGCUUAUCGGAAACGGGGGCGAGUGACAGUUCUGCCUUGAAGGGCCAUGGGGAGGCCCAAGGGACAGUGUCCACACAGGACCAGCAAGGGCCCUGGGCGUGGAAUCACUGGCUGCGCUCUUGUCCCCGAAGAGGACCCGGGCAGAAAUGUCUCCACCACGCGGCUGGAGUGACCGCACCCUCGUCCCGCCUUUCUCUGCCUGCUGCGUGCUCAUGUGCACACACGAACACACACAGGUGAGAACACAGGUAUACACAUACAUGCCUGCACCUAUAACACACACACACACCCCUGCACCUAUAACACGCAUGCACACACACACACCAGGACGCGCACACCUCCGCAGACUUUGCCAUCCCAAGUCCAUGGCUGGCCUUCCACAGCCAGGUUUCUCGUGGACGAAGAGACAGCCUGGCCUCUUCCAACCCCGAUCCCCUGGUCCCAUAACACAAAGGGGUGCAAGCUGGAGGUCAGGAGGUGCCCUGGCCCCCAAAUGCCAGAUCCAGGGAGUCUAGCUGUGCUCUCGCCAGGAAAUGGCCCACCUCCAGGGACUCAAGCCAGGGAGAAAGCUGAGGAGCCUCCAUUCUUGAAUUUGUCCUCCAUCUACAAAGUGAAAAUGAGCCCAGCCCUCACUAUGACCUACAAAGGCUCUGUCGAGAGUGCUCCAAGCCUGACUGUGCCCUGGGUGGGAAGCCAGGGCACAUUUCCACCUCCAUCCACAGAGAGAGCCACCAGCCAGUGGCCUGGCCAGGUGUCCAGCGUGUCUGCAGAGUAGACUGUCAGGGUCAUGGAGUCCUCCGCUUCCUGUUCAGAUGUCCCCGGGCCUCUGGAGUUGGGGAGGCCAAGGUCAGCAAGCCCUUCAGGAGAGAAAGUGAACAGUCUCCUUCCCUGGACGGGGUCCAGCCAGCCCAGAAUGGUCUUGUCCUGGGGACAUCCCAGAUCACAGGAGUCACCCCAGCGCCCAGGGAUUCACACCCUCCCAGUCCACCUUUCACCAGGGACUGACCCCAGGAGGGAUGAAAGGCAAGCUCCUCUGCUGGGGGUCAAGGCAAGUUCAAAGGUCACACAGCCCUCACAUCGCCCCCCGAGAUCACGAGUCCCCAGGCCGGAGCGAGACAAAGUGAACCCCUCUUGGAUCGUGGGGGCUGCAGAGACCUGCCUGCAAAAGAAGCGAUUACGUCUCGGUGCUCUUCGUUGUAUUAACCAGGCUUCGCCAGCGGCUCACCAGUAAAGAAUCCGCCUGCAAGGCAGGAGACGAAGGAGACGCGGGAUUCUUUACCAGCUGAGAGCCUGUGCUCCACUACAGAAGACGUCACCAAGGAAGACGCUCCUACACUGAAACUAGAGAGUGGUCCCCACUUGCUGCAGCGAGAGACAAGCCUGCGCAUCAGCUAAGACCCAGCACAGCCAAAGUACCUAAAUAAAAUACUUUUUUAAAACCUG